rnacentral:rRNA from 1 species
CUACGGGAUGCUGCAGUGAGGAAUAUUGCACAAUGGGGGGAACCCUGAUGCAGCAACGCCGCGUGGAGGAUGACGCAUUUCGGUGUGUAAACUCCUUUUAUAUGUCAAGAAAAUGACGGUAGCAUAUGAAUAAGCACCGGCUAACUCCGUGCCAGCAGCCGCGGUAAUACGGAGGGUGCAAGCGUUACUCGGAAUCACUGGGCGUAAAGGACGCGUAGGCGGGUUGGAAAGUCAGGUGUGAAAUCCUACAGCUUAACUGUAGAACUGCACUUGAAACUUCUAAUCUAGAGUAUGGGAGGGGAGAUGGAAUUAGUGGUGUAGGGGUAAAAUCCGUAGAUAUCACUAGGAAUACCGAAAGCGAAGGCGAUCUCCUGGAACAUUACUGACGCUAAGGCGUGAAAGCGUGGGGAGCAAACAGGAUUAGAUACCCUCGUAGUC